UGGGUGGCGAGUGGCGGACGGGUGAGGAAUACAUCGGAAUCUACUCUGUCGUGGGGGAUAACGUAGGGAAACUUACGCUAAUACCGCAUACGACCUACGGGUGAAAGCAGGGGACCUUCGGGCCUUGCGCGAUUGAAUGAGCCGAUGUCGGAUUAGCUAGUUGGCGGGGUAAAGGCCCACCAAGGCGACGAUCCGUAGCUGGUCUGAGAGGAUGAUCAGCCACACUGGAACUGAGACACGGUCCAGACUCCUACGGGAGGCAGCAGUGGGGAAUAUUGGACAAUGGGCGCAAGCCUGAUCCAGCCAUACCGCGUGGGUGAAGAAGGCCUUCGGGUUGUAAAGCCCUUUUGUUGGGAAAGAAAUCCAGCUGGCUAAU
rnacentral:rRNA from 1 species